UACGAAGGGGGCUAGCGUUGCUCGGAAUCACUGGGCGUAAAGCGCACGUAGGCGGCUUUUUAAGUCAGGGGUGAAAUCCUGGAGCUCAACUCCAGAACUGCCUUUUGAUACUGAGAAGCUUGAGUCCGGGAGAGGUGAGUGGAACUGCGAGUGUAGAGGUGAAAUUCGUAGAUAUUCGCAAGAAACACCAGUGGCGAAGGCGGCUCACUGGCCCGGUACUGACGCUGAGGUGCGAAA
rnacentral:rRNA from 1 species